ensembl:lncRNA
CACCCCGACAUUUCUGAGUGGUUUCCCCCACUACUCUGAGUUGAUUCCGUGUAUGACCCUGGACUGUUUGACUUCUCUGAUUCUCUGCUGCCUUCCCUUGUGAUCUCGGCUUCUGGAACACUGAUUGUUUGCUUGUUGCCCUGACUCCUGCCUGGUAUCGUUUCUGCCUCUAGCUUGCCUCUGACAUUCCUACUGUUGUUGUUUGACCAUUGCCUGUUGUUGACCUUGCUUUAUAAUAAAGUGCUGCAAAUGGAUCCACAAACAUGCUUCUGACCGAUUAUUACAGAAGACUUUGCCACCCCCAGAUCCAGUGGUGGUCUAUCAACUAUCCUCUGAGGUCUCAGCCCAAGCUAAUGUGUUAGCAUCUCACCAGCAGCAACUGCAACGCCUUACGUCUCUCAUGGAGGAACUGGUGGGAAUGUUGCAAUCCAUGCAACUGGUCAUGCCGUCACCAAGCCCACCAACGCCUGAGCCUCCACCAACUAAUGGAUCAGCUAGUACGCACACUGCUAACCCUUGACUCUCCUUACCGGCGAGGUUUGACGGAACUCCAGAUAAGUGUAAAGGCUUCCUCUUACAAUGUUCCCUGUUUAUGAAUCAACAACCAUUGUUAUAUCCCACAGACAACAGUCGUGUGGCUUUCAUCUGUUCCUUGCUGACAGGAAGGGUGUUGGAAUGGGCUACGGCUGUUUGGGAGGACAGAAGCCUGUCAUUUCCUUCCUUCAAAGAAUUCCUUCAUCAGUUUUGAGAGGUAUUCAAGCAUUCAGCCUGUGGCAAAGAGGCUAGUGAACAGUUGCUCGUACUGUCAGGGCAGAGAUACCGCAGUGGAUUACUCUCACCUUCUGCAUACUCUCAGCCCAAACUCGCAGUUGGGAUACUGGUCCCCUGAAGCUGCUUUACCGCAAGGGCUUAUCCGCUGAAUUACAGUCAGAACUUACCUGCCGCGAAAAGGGAAAGACACUGGAACAGUUCAUUAAUCUCUCAAUCCCCCUCGACAACCUACUACACGCAUGACGCUCCUCAUGACAGUCACAUGCUCUAUCACCCAUCUCCGCAGCCAUGCCAGACCCUGAACCCAUGCACAUUGGAGUCACUCGUCUUUCGUCGGCGGAAAGAAAGCACAGGAUAAGGAACCAUCUAUGCCUUUACCGAGGGUUGCCAGGUCAUCUAAGAGCCAAUUGCCCUACUAGACCGGCCUCCAAAGAUACCACUACGGUGAGUUCUAACCCAUAUACUCUUGAAGUACCGGUCUCCUUGACCAUUACUGAUGUUAUGGUUGAGGCGAGCGCUUUAAUAGACUGUGGUGGCGGGAAAUUAUAUUGAUGUCAGUUUCGCCAACACUCAUAACCUUCCUCUUCCGUGUGAAUCCCAACUGGUAGUGGCAGCGCUAGAUGGACACCCUCUGGGCACAGGACUGAUCAAAUUCAGAACCCAAGAACUCACACUAAAGUCUGGCUCCCUACAAACGGCAGUUCCAACCCCAUGUCAUAAACUUUGUUCCUUCCUCACAUUCGGAAGACUCUACUGUAUCAGAUCUCCCUGUCGAAUACCAAGAUCUCACAGAGGCAUUCAGCAAGUCAAAGGCUUCUCAACUCCCACCACAUCGAUCCAGUGAUUGCGCUAUCGACCUGCUUCCUGGAGCGAUGCCUACGAAAUGUAGAGUGUUUCCCCUAUCACAACCAGAGUCUGAGGCAAUGAAGGCAUACAUAGAGGAAUUGGCUAAGGGCUUCAUUAGACCAUCCACCUCUCCAGCGUCAGCAGGGUUUUUCUUUGUGAAAAAGAAUGGAGGCCUUGCAUUGAUUACCGAAGUCUGAAUGAUGUCACAGUCAAGUUUUGAUAUCCACUGCCACUGGUUCCAUCUGCCCUGGAGCAACUGCGCUCUGCCAAGUAUUUUACCAAGCUCGAUCUCCGCAGUGCCUACAAUCUGAUCCUGGAGACAAUGCCUAGACAACGCCUAGACUGGUCACCAUCAGCUCAGAACGCUUUCCAACAGCUCAAGGAUUGCUUGGAAUGGAGGCAUUGGCUAGAGGGCGCUAAAGUUCCUUUCCUGGUACUCACUGAUCACCGCAACCUGGAGUAUAUUCGCUCGGCCAAACGACUUAACCCAAGGCAAGCCCGAUGGUCACUAUUCUUUUCACACUUUGACUUUAAAGUCACCUACUCUGAGAAGCACCGAAACCGUUAUCACGUCAACUCUGAUUAUAGCACCAGUUCAAGGACAUUAUCACUGAGAUCACUGAAGCUCAGGUCAACAAUCCACCACCGCCGAACUGUCCCAACGACCGAACUUGCGUGUCAGCUGAUCUUCGACAACGGGUGUUGCAUCUGGUACAUGAUUCUCCCAGCUCAGGACACCCCGAGAUCACAACUUCAGUCCAGCUGUUGUCUGAGCGUUUCUGGUGGUCAUCCCUACUGCUGGAUACUAUCAAAUUUGUUCAACAAUGUAACAUGCCCAAUUCCUCUCACCAACAUCCUGCAGGUUUUUCAACCCCUUCCCGUUCCUCAACGCCCAUGGUCUCAUAUCGCAAUUGACUUUGUUACUGAUCUCCCCAACUCCAGAAUUCUUAGUCAUCGACCGAUUCUCCAAAGCCUGUCAACUCAUACCCUUACCCAAACUGCCUACUGCUUUUGAAACCGCCAAAGUCCUGUUGGAACAGGUCUUCUGCUUCUAUGGCCUUCCCGAAGAUAUAGUUUCCAACAGAGGGCCCCCAAUUCGCCUAGAGUCUGUAGAGCUUUCUGCCAGCAACUCAACCUCAGUCUUUCCUCUGGCUACCAUCAACAGUCCCAUGGCCAAGUUGAGAGGCUCUACCAAGAAGUUACCCGGUUCUUAUGCUCAUACUGCCACCAGAAUCAGAAUGACUGGAGUCUGUUCCUGUUACGGGCAGCGUAUGCGCAAAACUCGCUCCGCAAACCAUCUACCGGCCUCACUCCUUUCUAGCAUGUCUGCUGUCAACAAAUGGCUAAGGAGAAGCGAGAACACCUGGAAUGCAGCUCAUGUCCACCUACAAAGAGCAGUGUACUAAACCAGGGAACAAGCCGAUCGUCGGAGAAGGGAGGGGCCUGAAUAUACUUCUGGACAAUAGGUCUGCCAAUCCACCAGGGAUCUGUGACUUUGACUACCCAGCGAAAAAGAAGUCCCAGCCUGCCGGAGAGGAGAGGGAUCAGGACGAGGUCGCAGACAAGAGUACUCCUACCCUAACCGUGGACUGUGAGGAGGCAUACCAGGUCAGAGAGAUUUCUGGAUUCCUGACGCAGAGGACAAGUGCUGCAGUCAACCAGAUACUGGGAAGGAUAUGGCCCAGAGGAAAGGUCCUGGGUGAACGCCCAUGAUAUCCGGGAUCCCACACUCACCCUUGAGUUUCAUCAAGCUCAUCCAACUUGACCCGCCCCUCGUCCCCAUGGAAGCCCACAGCAUUGGUCUGCCCCUCGCAUCCGGAGCCGCUCGCAGGGGUGGGGCUCUGUCAUGAAUCAGACCUCUGUGGCUCUCUCCGAUUGCCACCAGAGGGCACCCUCACCUGAGUAUUAACCUUCAUCCUGGACUCCAUUUCCCAUAACCCUGUACUGGACUGAUUACCUGCACAGGUGUUGCUCAUCACUGGCCUAUUUAACCAGCACUCACACUCACUGCGAAGUCUUGUUUUGCUGACAUUUCUGAGUGUUUCCCCCCCCCACCAUUCUGAGUUGAUUCCGUGUUUGACGCUAGACUGUAUGAUUUCUGAUUCUCUGCUGUCUACCCUUGUGAUCUCGCCUUCUGGAACAUUGAUUGCUUGCUUGUUGCCCUGACUCCUGCCUGGUAUCGUUUCUGCCUCUGUCUUGCCUCUGACAUUCCUGCCGUUGUUGUUUGACCAUUGCCUGUUGUUCACCUUGC